AUCUAUUACCAUAUCAUCUUGAAUAUUACCCAUCUCAUUGGAUCAUGGAAGUCAAGCCAGAUUGGAACUGGUAAAAUCCUUCAUGAGAGGUAUCAGAGC
rnacentral:rRNA from 1 species